GCCAAGGUUUUAAAAAGGAUUUCCCUUCUUUGAGUAAAAGUCAGUGACUUUAGGUGGUAAGUUCCCAGCUCAUACUCUUGGCAGCUGGAGACAGGCUAUGAUCUCUCUCUCUCUCUCUCUUUCUUACCCCCACCUCCCGUCAACAAGCACCUCUCUUGCACUCUCUUUUAACUUUCUUUCUUUCUUUCUUUCUUUCUUUCUUUCUUUCUUUCUUUCUUUCUUUCUUUCUUUCUUUCUCUUUCAAGGUGGAAUUAUACAGCAAAAGACAUGUGGGUUAAGACUUCUCUCUGCAAGGAAUUUACUAAUUGCUAGAGACAUGCUGACACGAGGAGUGGUCUAGACAAGGGACCACGGAAGCCACCUCCUGGACCUGCCCACCUGUGCCAGUGGCCCAGAGAGGAGACCUCUGGAAGCCCUGCUUCUUCUGCCAGCUGGGGUUCCUGGUGAUGUGAUUUUAUCCUGAUAUUCAGAAUCACAUUGCCAGGGAUUUCCAACUGUCGGUGAGUAAACGCAGCACCUCGAUACAAGAACUAGAGCACUGAAGUGGACCGGGAUCAUCUUGGCAUCAGAAAGGUGGCCAACACAACAACCCCACUGUCACACAUACACAGAGCUCCUGGACUUGAUGAUGCUUGUGACCGGCCCUACCAUCAGGCAGUAGAUUUUGGCUGUCAGGAAAAUGCAGCCAAUUGUUAUUUAGCUCAUAUUGCACUUUUUGGUGCCUCUCAAUGUGGGGAGAGUUGCUUCUGGGACCUUUGUGCCAAAAUAUCACGACUGUUUUUGGAUCCUGCACAUCUUGAUUCAGGUGACCUGAAGGUAAGCUGUCAUUUGUUGGUCUGCCGCGGGCAACACCAUGCCUCAGACCAGGUGAGUGUGUGUGUUUAUGUGUGUGUGUCUGGGUAAACCAGCACAGAGGCAUUGGGGAUCGGUGGGGAAAGGCUUUCUACAGACGGCAAGGGGCAGGGCUUAGCCCACCUGUGAACAGCGUUCGGUUCAGCCAUGUUCACAGUGGCUAAGUUCCGCCCCUUGUGGUCGAUUUGCUCUCUCCUCCUCCAGGACCCCCAUACUCUGUGCCUUCGCUGUGAAGAGGUCCUAAGAAUGCAAACAGAGCCAGGAAAGAAGAAGCACAGAUGUGUUUGCCAGGGAUUUGGAAGGGUACUAAAAAGGGGAGAUACUAGAUCUUUAUUUGUACUGAGCCUAGAG